GUCAGUACUGCAGUGUGACGGGUGCUGAGAGAGGGACAGGGCAUGCCUCGGCGGGAGCCUCUGGGUGGGGGGAAUGGGCCAUGCCCGGGCUCAGUGCGAACAGCCCUGGGACUGUUGUGGAGAGACGAACUGGGAGGAGCUGGGGUGAGGGAAGAGAAGGUUACCUAUGGGGACCGCUGAGGUUUGAGACCUCGAGAGGGUCCCGUACGACGAGCGCUGUGAAUCUCCGCCUGCUUGUCCUGCUCAUGGUCACACUGAUCCUUUUGCAGGGUCGGUGCCCAGCCCCCAACAGGGGCAGAGGAGGGAGCGUGUCUGGGUGAGUCCUCCCCCGGUGGAGGGUGGGCUGGGUGCCGACCAGCCGUGGAUCUGACAUCUCUGUUGACUCUCUGCAGUGGAUCUGAUCACGUCAAGCCCCCAGUGCCUGCACGGCUUGGUGGGGUGGGUGCACGGACAUGCGGCUAGCUGCAGGGCCCUGCCCCACCUUCAGAGGACACUGUCCUCCGAGUACUGCGGUGUCAUCCAGGUCGUGUGGGGCUGCGACCAGGGCCACGACUACACCAUGGACACCAGCUCCAGCUGCAAGGCCUUCUUGCUGGACAGUGCGCUGGCAGUCAAGUGGCCAUGGGACAAAGAGACGGCUCCACGGCUGCCCCAGCACCGAGGGUGGAACCCUGGGGAUGCCCCUCAGACCUCCCAGGGUAGAGGGACAGGGACCCCAGUUGGGGCUGAGACCAAGACCCUGCCCAGCACGGAUGUGGCCCAGCCUCCUUCGGACAGCGACAUGGUGGGGCCCAGGUCGGGCUUCCCACCUCAGCCAAGCCUGCCCCUUUGCAGGGCCCCAGGGCAGUUGGGUGAGAAGCAGGUUCCAUCUUCAACCUCGGAUGAUCGGGUAAAAGACGAGUUCAGUGACCUUUCUGAGGGAGACGUCUUGAGUGAAGAUGAAAAUGACAAGAAGCAAAAUGCCCAGUCUUCGGACGAGUCCUUUGAGCCUUACCCAGAAAGGAAGGUCUCUGGUAAGAAGAGUGAAAGCAAAGAAGCCAAGAAAUCUGAAGAACCAAGAAUUCGGAAGAAGCCGGGACCCAAGCCCGGAUGGAAGAAGAAGCUUCGUUGUGAGAGGUGAUGCCUGGAACGCGAGGCUCGCCCUGCCUGUCGGGGCCGGGGCUCCAUGCAUGCUCUUCAUUGCAGGGAGGAGCUUCCCACCAUCUACAAGUGUCCUUACCAGGGCUGCACAGCCGUGUAUCGAGGCGCUGACGGCAUGAAGAAGCACAUCAAGGAGCAUCAUGAGGAGGUCCGGGAGCGGCCCUGCCCCCAUCCUGGCUGCAACAAGGUUUUCAUGAUUGAUCGCUACCUGCAGCGCCACGUGAAGCUCAUCCACACAGAGGUGCGGAACUACAUCUGUGACGAGUGUGGACAAACCUUCAAGCAGCGGAAGCACCUUCUCGUCCACCAAAUGCGACAUUCGGGAGCCAAGCCUUUGCAGUAAGUGUGAGUCAGGCCCCCCGCCAGGGCUGUGGCCCACGCACCUUCUUACCUGCCUCUGUCCCCCAGGUGUGAGGUCUGUGGGUUCCAGUGCAGGCAGCGGGCAUCCCUCAAGUACCACAUGACCAAACACAAGGCUGAGACGGAGCUGGACUUUGCCUGUGACCAGUGUGGCCGGCGGUUUGAGAAGGCCCACAACCUCAACGUACACAUGUCCAUGGUGCACCCGCUGACACAGACCCAGGACAAGGCCCUGCCCCUGGAGGCGGAACCACCACCUGGGCCACCGAGCCCCUCUGUGACCACAGAGGGCCAGGCGGUGAAGCCCGAACCCACCUGAGGACGGCAGUGAGGAUGAGCACCUCUAGCAGCCCGGACUCCGCAGAGGCUGUCAGCCUCACCCUUCGUGUGCACCCGCAUGGGAGGGUCAGAGGGUGCUGCCCGCCCUCAGUGCUGGAGGCGGGCUUGGUGUACGGCUCAAGUAGCCUUCCUCUGCUCUGGGACCAGUGGUUUAUUUUCCUGCAAAUGCUGAGUGACCUGGGGCCAGACAGUUUAUAAAUAAUUGAUUCCUUUCCCCACUAAAGCAAUCGAGGAGAUUUGUAAUCCACUUUUUAGUGCAACAAGAGCUCCAUGUUAUGCUUGUAAUAAAUUAUUUACACAGGAGCUGGGCUGGUGUGCAGU
rnacentral:sRNA from 1 species